CUGGCAACGGGAGCAAAAGCAGGUUAUUUGCACUUGGAGUCCUUAGCCUGAAAGGCGGAGAUCCUAACAGGGCUUUGGAGAUUCGUUGAGUUUGGAUGCAACAUGUCAAGACAAUCCUUUAAGAAGUGUGGCUGUAAAGGAAAAGAGAAAGGUCAGUGCCUGAAGAGAAUGGCAAGUGAAGAAAUUGGAAGAUUUCUUUAUGGAAGAGUGACCUACUGUUUAUUAAUACAACAGAAAAAAAGUUGAUACUUGCGGUGGUUAUUCAUUGUCAACAAAAGAAUUAAAACCCUCAGCAGCAAAAUUCCUCAUUAAAGCAAUCCUGCCCAGCGAGUACUAAGCAGUCAUAAGAUAAUGCACUGUGAGGAAGAAAUAAAUGAUCUUGUCAAGUUGCACCUUUAAUGUACAACUUUAGAUAUGAUGCAGGUGUUCCUGAAAGAUUAACAAGGAAGAAGAUGCCCUGGAAAAUGCAUUUCUGAGACAUCUACAUUUGCUGACUCAGACCCUUUCCUAUUUCCUCAAUAUAAAGACGCCAGCUUCUCCCCGUGACAGAGCAAUUCCUCCCUUGGGAACUUACCCACCAUCCCUCUUGACAUUGUUUUCUGAUCUAAGUAAACUCUUGCCUUUAUUUUUAUUCUAGUCUUGGUAAAUUCUUUUACUGCUCACAUCACCAGUAAUGCUGUCUUGCAGGGCAGUAGUGAGGAAGAGAUUAAAGAUACUGCCAAAAAAGAGGAUAACUGACUGAUUACCUAAAGGAACAGGAGGAGAUGGGAUCCAUAGACCAGGUCCAUAAAUUACCUUAGAUUGAAGAUAGAACCAGGAAAGAGGAUGUCAAAGUCGAUAUAGCCCAUUAAAUACUUGGGGAAUUAUUGUGGGUUACCAUAUCCCAUUCCAUACUUUUCUAAUGACAUUAGGAUAAUGGUAGCCAGCUGUGCAUGUCAGUAGCUGCACCUAAGGGAUACAAGCAGUACUUUUUUUUUUUGGUACCGGGGAUCGAACUCUGGUCCUUGCACUUGUGAGGCAAGCAGUGAAACCACUGAGC
rnacentral:lncRNA from 1 species